AAAAGGUUUGGUCCUGGCCUUAUCAUUUGCUGUCAGUAAAAUUACACAUGCGAAUAUCCGUACACCAGUGAGUCAGCUCUAGAAAUAUACUAUAUCUAAGGAAGCGGGAGUUAAGUACACAUAAGAUGUAGCUAAAAAUACCCAGUCUAACCACGCCCCCACGGGUUACAGCAGUGAUAGAAAUUAAGAAAUGAGCGAAAGCUUGACUUAGUUAUACUGAUACAGGGCUUGGUAAAUUUCGUGCCAGCCACCGCGGUCAUACGAACGGCCCGAGUAAAUGAUGUACGGCGUAAAGAGUGCUAAGAAUGUAAAUUGUUCAGUAGAGUUAUAAUUUAGCUAUGCUGUAAAAAGCCCUAGCUUAAAUGAUAAUCAAUAACUAAAGUAACCCUAUUUAUACGUAGCACUAAAGCUAUGACCCAAACUGGGAUUAGAUACCCCACUAUGCAUAGCCAUAAACACAGAUUUAUUUACAAAACAAAUAAAUUCGCCAGAGAACUACGAGCCAUCGCUUAAAACUCAAAGGACUUGGCGGUGCUUUAUAUCCAUCCAGAGGAGCCUGUUCUGUAAUCGAUAAACCCCGAUAUACCUUACCAUUUCUUGCUAAAACAGUCUGUAUACCGCCAUCUUCAGCAAACCCUUAAAAGGUAGAAUAGUAAGCUUAAUUAUUAUAAAAUAAAAAAGUUAGGUCAAGGUGCAGCCUAUGAAAUGGAACGCAAUGGGCUACAUUUUCUAAUUAAGAACAUUAACGGACCCUUACAUGAAAUAUUGUAAGAUGAAGGAGGAUUUAGCAGUAAACUAAAGAUAGAGUAUUUAGUUGAAUAGAGCAAUGAAGCACGCACACACCGCCCGUCACCCUCCUCAACAUUUUAAUACAUUAAGAACAUAUCGCCCUGUAAACUAAAUUAAGAGGAGACAAGUCGUAACAAGGUAAGUGUACCGGAAAGUGCACUUGGAAUAAU
rnacentral:ncRNA from 1 species